rnacentral:misc_RNA from 1 species
CAUGUUGAGACUCCUCACCAUUACUGAGGAUGAGCGUGGCUGGAAUAAUGAAGUGUGUGGCACACUCUUGAUAUUAGUUGUUGGGUGGCCAUCCAGGUUAGCGGAAACACUGAUUGAGGGGAAUAUUCUAGAAAACGUGAAAACACUAGCCAUGUCUAUCUGUUGUGUACAAGAGAAUAAAAAGUCCCAAGGCUGUACAGAUGUUAUUUUCCUUGUGGUUUUUGUCAUAUUUUGGGUUAUAUUGAUAUUUAUAGCAGCUUUUGCUUUUGUUACUGGUAACCCAUUAAGAUUGAUGUAUGGAUAUGAUAGCUUUGGGAAUAUCUGUGGAGUUGAUAAUAAGCCUGUUGGAAAUUUGUCUUAUUCUGGAUUGGACAUGACAGACAAACCGUAUUUGUUUUACUUCGAUGUGACAGACCUUUCACAUUCACUGAUGAUUUGUGUGAAAAAAUGCCCUGAUAGAAUAUUAUCCAACAUUGUGGACCUUCAGAAGUUUAAACUUGACACAGGAUCAUCACUUCAUCGUUAUGAUAUAGAUGAAUUUGAUACCUGUAGUGAUAUUAAUUUAACAGGAGAAGGUAAAGGUAUAACAAGUAACAGUGGAUUAGGUCCUUGCCCUAAACUUCCAGUAUAUGCUAUGAAACCUUUGUUGCACAGAUGUGUUCCUGAGUCAGUGUUGGGCAUUACACAGAACAUUAUAUAUAGUUUCUAUAGUUACUUAAACAGCUUUGACACUUUUCAACAAGUUGUUGGUGAUCUGUAUGCAAGCUGGAAAGAAAUGCUUGGAAUGCUUAUACUAUCUGUAGUUCUCUCAUUCGUCAUGGUGUUUUUGAUCCAUUUUGUUGCCGCUGUUGUAUCUUGGAUUAUUAUGGCUGUAAUAGCCUUGGCUUCUAUUGCAUUGACGGGCAUAUUGUGGUGGACUUACUUGAGAAUCAAGUGGGGUUUGGACUCAACUCCCUUCUUUGAGCUUUUGGAAGAAGCAGCUAAAAAUGAACGUGCUUUUCUCAUUUAUGCUGUUUUGGUAACCAUCCUGACUGUGUGCUUAUUGUUGAUUCUGAUAAUUUUAAGAAAGCGAGUGGAGCUGAUGGUAGCCUUGUUUCAUGAGGCUGGGAAGUGUGUUCGUGCCAUGCCUUGCCUGUUGCUUCAGCCUAUAUUUACCUUCAUUGUAUUGGGAAUGUUCUUCAUUUUCUGGCUAGGAAUAGUUUUGACAAUGGCUACGGCAGAUUACCCAACAAGAACAACAGUAUUGAGUCCUCUGCUAGAAAACUCAGGAGAACCCUCAAGUGUUUUAGAUCAGAGUGCAGCUACCAUUCAGGUUAGUGCUGAGCAAAUUGCACACGUGGCACAGUUCACAACGAUCAAGUAUAAUGAACCAGCAUGGGUGCAUCAUCAGUGGUGGUACUUGCUUAUUGCACUUGUGUGGACUAGCGAGUUUAUCUUAGGUUGUCAACAGAUGGUCAUUGCUGGUGCUACUUCUUCUUGGUACUUUCAAAGCAGGAAUGAACUACACUGUCCUAUUGGGAAGUCUGUGUUGCAUCUAAUAUCUUACCACUUGGGGUCUGUUGCACUGGGAUCUUUUCUAAUAACAAUUUUUAAAGUGCCCCGCAUUGUUUUGUCUUUCAUGAAAAGAAGUCUGAAGAAAUAUGAAAACAAUGUGAUUGCUUCCUGCUGCUAUAAAUGCUGUAGUUGUUGCCUUUGGUGUCUGGAGAAAUUCAUUAGAUAUUUAAAUCAUAAUGCAUACACUGUUGUAGUCUGCCUAGGUGCUAUUGAGCAAUUAGAGGAACAGGUUUUUGCCAUUCUGCACAAUCUGCUUUUAAUACCUUGGUAACUAAUGCUUUGAGAGUUGCAACUAUCAAUAGUGUUGGGGACUUCAUACUGUUUUUGGGAAAAUGUGCUGUGACUGUGCUUACUGCCUGUGUUGGAAUCUUAGUCAUGAUGCACAACCAAGACCUACAUUUUUUUGCUAUUCCUGUAUUUGCAGCUUGUGUAUUUUCAUUCUUCAUUGCCCAUUCUGUGCUGUCUGUAUAUGAG